AAGGAAGGUAAAAACGGAAAGCCAACGCAAUCACCGCAAGUUGGCAUUCCUCCUACAUCGCAAGGCUUGAAGGCACCCUCCUGCGACAUCCUCGCUUGAUUCGUCCGCCGCUCGGCGUCCUCGACCUCGCGAGCCCUCGCCUUCUACCUCGCGCCGUUGCCAAUCGUCGCCCUCGCCAACUCAGAAUGAGAAAUCCGGCUUCCUCAGGCUCAGCCUCGUCGGCUGCUAUCUCAGCAACGACGAAGAUCUCAUCGAAUGGGCCAAGAUCCACACGGCCAGAAUGAGGUGGUGGUGUCGUAUGACAUCCUGGAAGCCCCUGCUCUUCUGCGUAAUCCUAAAUCUGAUGCAUGAGACUAGAUUGAUUUGUCUAAGUAACAAAUGCAGACAUUAAGGCAACCAAGAAGCUGCUUGACAGUGCUCAAGCUCAGCAGCGGCCUUGGGAUGACGAUGGGUGCACCAGACCCAAAUCGGUCAUCGGCUGGCUAAAACAUCAUGACUAAUGCAGCGUUCCUACAAAUUUCACCAGUCGAUCUUGUUUCUAUCUUUUAUGGUGACAUCUAUCUUUUAUGGUGACACUUGGUAGCAACAUUUUUCUCGUACAGUUAGUAUGGCAGAAAUAAUCUUAUCAUGAACUCCAACACUCAUGAACUCCAUUCAUAA